UGUCACCAAGCACCUAUUUCUCUUCUCUGACAGUACAGUGAGCCUGUGAUGACUCACUCAGAUGUAGGAGUCUACAGCUGGUCUGAUGAAUGCUGCCUGGAGUCUCUUGAAGCACUCAUCAAGGAUGUCACCAGUGCCAGCAACCAGAGCUGACUGAAGACAAGCCAUUCAAAUGAGAAGUUUCUGACACAGGUGGUGAGGAUGAAGGUGAGCCUGCCUGACAGCUGCAUCUCUGUCUCUCCACGUCUGCAGAGAGGGAACAUCUUGCGACAAUUGCACGGGAAACACAUCUUCAACAUAGCUAGGAAGAGGUACCUGAAGCUGUGAUGGAAUGCUUUUGAACUUUUCAACCUGCUGGUUCUCCACUCCCACAUCUCCAUCGACAAGAGCUGGAGGAGCGUGAGAUAAAUGCAAACACAGAAUGAAACCUCAGAGCCCAGAUUUCCUUCUGCCUGUGGAGAAGCAACAAUUAUGCCUCUGAUUAAAAGAAAGUCUGCAGCAGCCAAGCACUGAUCAAGUUUGAGCAGCCUAAUGACUUUGCUAGCACAUAAUGUUUGAUAACAAUCUCCAGCAGACCACUGAUGAUACAGAUCCCUCCUUUUGGAAGGGAGUGAUAAAACCCCCUGUUCUUGCUGAUUAACUUGUACAUACCAGGCCAUGAUCCAACAGUUUCUCAGCCACCUGUGCAAGUGAAAUGGGGCUCUGCUCUUGCAGUAAUUUAGCUCCUAAUAUUUUCAGGCUGAUAAAAAACAGACCACCUCAACUAAUGGCAAUUUUUACAUAAUCCUUUUUAUUUUCAAACCAGCCUGCCCACCUUACAUUGCAUAUAAGCCAUGGCUGCAUUUACAACUGCAUCUCCUCCAGAGUUAAGAUCUAAUGACACACAAGCAAAACCGUGCCUUUAUAUUCCUACAGAUGCAACUUAGAUCUAUAUUUUAAUUAGGAAACAACUGUGUCUUUAUCUAGAGAACAAGUAAGUUCUAAUAGAUCUUAAGUUCAUGUAAACUCUGGGUAAUUUAAAUUGAGUUUGUCUAUGAAAAAUGUUUACAUUUAUUGUAUGAUAGAAGUGGUUGGGAUUCACACCUGCUCAAGCAGCUACCAACACAUGGACAAGAGUUCUCACCUUUCCAAAUAUCAGUAACAAUUCCUGUUUACCUUUGCAUGGUUGUCUGAGCAAAAAGCCAUGAAAAAGUAAUCCCAUAGUGACUGAACUGACUCAUUCAAUCCCUGCACUGUUCAAACAUACACAGAAUAUGUAUACAGCAGUCCACUUGCUGGUUUUUCUUCCUAAGUUUCAAGUUUAUGUUCUGGAAAUGUCUUCACUUUUCAUCAUAUGAAAAAAUCUGGAAAAAAUCGUAAGUAUGGAGAUGAA